GCACCCCUGCAGGGGUGGGAGGCACAGAGAUGCUAGACCAGCCGGGAAGGUAGGGAGAGGCAGAGGUGGAGGUAAGGUGGCAGAGAUGAAGGAGAUGAGGAAGGUGAGUGAGAGGCACGGGGCAGGGGGGAGCUGGACAGAGGAUGACAGGACGGAAUGGGGAGGUGAUGGGAGCGGAAACAGGAAGGUGAUGACAACCCGGAGAUGGGGAGAAGGAGGUGAAGGAGAGGCAAGAAAUGAGUGAUGGAGGCAGGUUGCCGAGGACGAUGAAGGAAGGGGCUGCGGGAGAAGCAGGGUGGGGCUGAGAAGAUGCGAGCAGGAGAUGAGAUGGGUUCCCUCCUGUGAUCUCUCUUGCCUUCCCAGUGCAGACUACAGAGCUGUAAAGGGACACAGAGGUUCUUCACACCCCAUGUCACAGAUGGAGAAACUGAGUCCACAAAGGGAAUGAAGCAGCCAGGGUGUCCCUGAUCUGGCCACAGCUGGGGACUUCAGAAGGAACAGAGGGCACCAGAUCAGACAAGAAAACCCUGGAGACAGGAUGGGGAUGUGGAGGUACUCAAGGCUGGGCCAUGCCUGAGAACCAGGACAACACUGAGGGCGACAGGACAUACUUCCAGAGAAAACCCAACAUCUGCCCAAGAGCCCAAGCCCUGAAACAGGCCUACCCCUGGGAAGAUCAUCAGGUGAUGCCUGAGAAGGCUGUCCCCUCUCCCAGCCACUGCCCCCCUCAGAUAGAAGCUUCCCUGCCCCAGGCUCUAACCAGCUGCUGGGUACCAACCACAAGGGACUAGAAACUGCUGUCCACCCUGCCGUCUCUAAGGAGGGGCCUUAAAUAAUAUGCAAGUUCGCAGACAGAUGCCCAGGUGAGGAGAAAAACCAGGCAAGGACAUUAAGGAGUGUCCUUGUGACUCCAAGGGACAACCUGUAGCUGAGAUUCCCUCGGGACAGGGGUGGGAACCUGCACAGCCAGAGUCUAGGGAAGCCAGCUGGGCCUGGCCUCCAGGGAACCUCCUGAGCCUGCCCCCCUGGGAGUGGGCCUACCCAGGUCAGGAAAUCAGAGACUUCCACUGCAAGCUUCUGUGGGUACCAGAGGAAAAGGGGUGAACACCUGGUGAACACCUGCCCCCGCCCACUGUCCCACGCAAUAGCAUGUAUGCGUGAGCUACAAAUAAAGCAUGUAAG